AGUGAACGCUGGCGGUAGGCCUAACACAUGCAAGUCGAACGGCAGCACAGUAAGAGCUUGCUCUUACGGGUGGCGAGUGGCGGACGGGUGAGGAAUACAUCGGAAUCUACUUUUUCGUGGGGGAUAACGUAGGGAAACUUACGCUAAUACCGCAUACGACCUACGGGUGAAAGCAGGGGAUCUUCGGACCUUGCGCGAUUGAAUGAGCCGAUGUCGGAUUAGCUAGUUGGCGGGGUAAAGGCCCACCAAGGCGACGAUCCGUAGCUGGUCUGAGAGGAUGAUCAGCCAAACUGGAGCUGAGAAACGGUCCAGACUCCUACGGGAGGCAGCAGGGGGGAAUAUUGGACAAUGGGCGCAAGCCUGAUCCAGCCAUACCGCGGGGGUGAAGAAGGCCUUCGGGUUGUAAAGCCCUUUUGUUGGGAAAGAAAAGCAGCAGGUUAAUACCCCGCUGUUCUGACGGUACCCAAAGAAUAAGCACCGGCUAACUUCGU
rnacentral:rRNA from 1 species